rnacentral:misc_RNA from 1 species
ACAGAUGCUUCCAAAUCAGGCAUAGGAAUGACACAAAUACCUAUCAGCCUCUCCUCAUAACCAUCAUCAACUAUGACACUGGGGCUGGAUGAUGAUGCAAGCACAACUUGGGGAUUAGACUUGUCUAGCUUAUUAGAAGAGGUAUCUGGACCCUCCCACUCUGGAACAAAAGCUUNCCUGGUCCAAUUGAAACUGGCUUCCGAAAAGGAUAGUCAAGAGAUGAGAACACCUCAUCAGGCUGCAUUAAAGCCCUUAGCUGGUGUCCAUGAUCAAAAUACUCUGGGAAAACUGAGAGGUUAUCUGCUUCAAGAAUUCCGUUGUUGAU